rnacentral:rRNA from 1 species
CUGAAUAACUCAGCAGAUCGCACAGUCUUGCACUGGCGACGCAUCUUUCAAGUGUCUGCCUUAUCAACUGUUGAUGGUAGUUUAUGCGACUACCAUGGUUGUAACGGGUAACGGAGAAUAAGGGUUCGACUCCGGAGAGGGAGCCUGAGAAACGGCUACCACAUCCAAGGAAGGCAGCAGGCGCGCAAAUUACCCACUCUCGGCACGAGGAGGUAGUGACGAAAAAUAACGAGACGGUUCUCAAUGAGGCCCGUUAUCGGAAUGAGUACAAUCCAAACUCUUUAACGAGGAUCUAUCGCAGGGCAAGUCUGGUGCCAGCAGCCGCGGUAAUUCCACUUUCUGAAGGUGUAUACCACCGUUGUUGCGGUUAAAAU